rnacentral:lncRNA from 1 species
AUGGCUGAAAAUGAUGAUAAUGAAAAGAUGGCUGCCCUGGAGGCCAAAAUCUGUCAUCAAAUUGAGUAUUAUUUUGGAGACUUCAAUUUGCCAGGAGACAAGUUUUUAAGGGAACAGAUAAAACUGGACGAAGGCUGGGUAUCUUUGGAGAUAAUGAUAAAAUUCAACAGGUUGAACCAUCUAACAACAGACUUUAAUGUAAUUGUGGAAGCAUUGAGCAAAUCCAAGGCAGAACUCAUGAAAAUCAGUGAAGAUAAAACUAAAAUCAGAAGGUCUUCAAGCAAACCCCUACCUGAAGUGACUGAUGAGUAUAAAAAUGAUGUAAAGAAACAGAUCUGUUUAUAUUAAAGGCUUCCGAACUGAUGCAACUCUUGAUGACAUAAAAGAAUGAUUAGAAGAUAAAGAUCAAGUACUAAAUAUUCAGAUGAGAAGAACAUUGCAUAAAAUAUUUAAGGGAUCAGUUUUUGUUGUGUUUGAUAGCAUUGAAUCUGCUAAGAAGUUUGUAGAGACCCCUGGCCAGAAGUACAGACACAGGCCUGCUAAUACUUUUCAAAGAUGAUUACUUUGCCAAAAAAAUAAUAUUAAUAAAAAAAAAGAAAGAAGAAGAAAGAAAACAAAAUAAAGUGGAAGCUAAAUUAAGAGCUAAACAAGAGCAAGAAGCAAAUCAAAAGUUAGAAGAAGAUGCUGAAAUGAAAUCUCUAGAAGAGAAGAUUGGAUGCUUGCUGAAGUUUUCAGGUGAUUUAGAUGAUCAGACCUGUAGAGAAGAUUUACACAUCCUUUUCUCAAGUCAUGGUGAAAUAAAAUGGAUAGACUUCAUCAGAGGAGCAAAAGAGGGGAUAAUUCUAUUUAAAGAAAAAGACAAGGAAGCGUUGGGUAAAGCCAAAGAUGUAAAUAAUGGUAAUCUACAAUUACAGAGCAAAGAAGUGACUUGGGAAGUACUAGAAGGAGAGGUGGAAAGAGAAGCACUGAAAAAAAUAACAGAAGACCAACAAGAAUCCCUAAACAUAUGGAAGUCAAAAGGACACAGAUUUAAAGGAAAAGGAAAGGGUAAUAAAGCUGCCCAUCCUAGGUCUGGUAAAGAAAAAGUACAGUUUCAGGGCAAGAAAAUGAAAUUUGCUAAUGAUGAUGAACAUGAUGAAAAUGGUGCAACUGGACCUAUGAAAAGAUCAGGAGAAGAAACAGACAAAGAAGAACCUGUGUCCAAACAACAGAAAAGAGAAAAUGGUGCUGGAGACGAGUAG